rnacentral:rRNA from 1 species
UACGUAGGGGUUAAGCGUUGUCCGGAUUUAUUGGGCGUAAAGAGCUCGUAGGCGGUUGGGUAAGUCGGGUGUGAAAACUCCAGGCUCAACUUGGAGAUGCCACCCGAUACUGCUCUGACUUGAGUUCGGUAGGGGAGUGGGGAAUUCCUGGUGUAGCGGUGAAAUGCGCAGAUAUCAGGAGGAACACCGGUGGCGAAGGCGGAUCUCUGGGCCGAUACUGACGCUGAGGAGCGAAAGCGUGGGGAGCAAACAGG